UACGAAGGGGGCUAGCGUUGCUCGGAAUCACUGGGCGUAAAGCGCUCGUAGGCGGAUUGUUAAGUCGGGGGUGAAAUCCUGGAGCUCAACUCCAGAACUGCCUUCGAUACUGGCAAUCUUGAGUCCGGGAGAGGUGAGUGGAACUCCGAGUGUAGAGGUGAAAUUCGUAGAUAUUCGGAAGAACACCAGUGGCGAAGGCGGCUCACUGGCCCGGUACUGACGCUGAGGUGCGAAAGCGUGGGGAGCAAACAGGG
rnacentral:rRNA from 1 species